GAUGAACGCUGGCGGCGUGCUUAACACAUGCAAGUCGAACGGUGAAGGCGGAGCUUGCUCUGCUGGAUCAGUGGCGAACGGGUGAGUAACACGUGAGCAAUCUGCCCCUGACUCUGGGAUAAGCGCUGGAAACGGCGUCUAAUACUGGAUACGAGCUGCGAAGGCAUCUUCAGCAGCUGGAAAGAAUUUCGGUCAGGGAUGAGCUCGCGGCCUAUCAGCUUGUUGGUGAGGUAAUGGCUCACCAAGGCGUCGACGGGUAGCCGGCCUGAGAGGGUGACCGGCCACACUGGGACUGAGACACGGCCCAGACUCCUACGGGAGGCAGGAGUGGGGAAUAUUGAACAAUGGGCGAAAGCCUGAUGCAGCAACGCCGCGUGAGGGACGACGGCCUUCGGGUUGUAAACAUCUUUUAGCAGGGAAGAAGCGAAAGUGACGGUACCUGCAGAAAAAGCGCCGGCUAACUACGU
rnacentral:rRNA from 1 species